AGUGAACGCUGGCGGUAGGCCUAACACAUGCAAGUCGAACGGCAGCACAGUAAGAGCUUGCUCUUACGGGUGGCGAGUGGCGGACGGGUGAGGAAUACAUCGGAAUCUACUUUUUCGUGGGGGAUAACGUAGGGAAACUUACGCUAAUACCGCAUACGACCUACGGGUGAAAGCAGGGGAUCUUCGGACCUUGCGCGAUUGAAUGAGCCGAUGUCGGAUUAGCUAGUUGGCGGGGUAAAGGCCCACCAAGGCGACGAUCCGUAGCUGGUCUGAGAGGAUGAAUCGCCACACUGGAACCGAGGCACGGUCCAGACUCCUACGGGAGGCCGCAGUGGGGAAUAUUGGGCAAUGGGGGCAAGCCUGAUCCAGCCAUACCGGGUGGGUGAAGAAGGCCUUCGGGUUGUAAAGCCCUUUUGUUGGGAAAGAAAAGCAGCAGGUUAAUACCCCGCUGUUCUGACGGUACCCAAAGAAUAAGCACCGGCUAACUUCGUG
rnacentral:rRNA from 1 species